AAAGCGCAUGCUUUUUGUUGAAAAACCAAGGUGGUAUGGGAUGGACCCGCGUCUGAUUAGCUGGUUGGCGGGGUAAAGGCCCACCAAGGCGACGAUCAGUAGCCGGCCUGAGAGGGCGGACGGCCACAUUGGGACUGAGACACGGCCCAAACUCCUACGGGAGGCAGCAGUGGGGAAUAUUGCACAAUGGGGGAAACCCUGAUGCAGCGACGCCGCGUGAGUGAAGAAGUAAUUCGUUAUGUAAAGCUCUAUCAGCAGGGAAGAAAAUGACGGUACCUGAGUAAGAAGCCCCGGCUAACUACGUGCCAGCAGCCGCGGUAAUACGUAGGGGGCAAGCGUUAUCCGGAUUUACUGGGUGUAAAGGGAGCGUAGACGGCAGUGCAAGUCUGGAGUGAAAGGCGGGGGCUCAACCCCCGGACUGCUCUGGAAACUGUACGGCUGGAGUGCAGGAGAGGUAAGUGGAAUUCCUAGUGUAGCGGUGAAAUGCGUAGAUAUUAGGAGGAACACCAGUGGCGAAGGCGGCUUACUGGACUGUAACUGACGUUGAGGCUCGAAAGCGUGGGGAGCAAACAGGAUUAGAUACCCUGGUAGUCCACGCCGUAAACGAUGCUCAAUAGGUGUCGGGG
rnacentral:rRNA from 1 species